UGUUGCCUGCGGUGCUCGAGUUGAUCUCUGAAUCCUUGCAACCUAAUUGACUAUCCCAGGUGCUUGGUAAGUGACGGGUGAGCAUGAACGCGGAGCGAUCCGCCGGGAAUCCCGAAGUCGUUUCAUUGCACCGCCUUGAACCGCUCGGUUCAAGGAUGUGGGAUCAUACGGCAUACGCGGGUAACGC
rnacentral:other from 1 species